GUUUUAUUAUCGUUAUUGAGAGAUUAAACCUCGGAUUGAGCCUCUAGCUUACCAUUCAUUAAUAAUUCUAUUUUUAUUAAAUCGUACCGUUUGUCAUAAACUAUCGCUUAUAGUUAAGUUAAGUCACUGCAGCGUUCGAAAAAGACAAUACCCAAUAGUCGUGAUCCUACCAGCUAUAGCUACAUAAUAUAAUAUAAUAUAGUCGCGCAAUAUUGCAAUAAUAAUAUUAUUAUGUAUAAUAAGACAUUAUUAUAACUAUUGAUCCAUUAUAAGACGUGUAUAUUACAAUACGAAUGUUGUGUGUAAACGUUGUGUACGACUUUUUUUAUUUAUAUUUUUUUUUAUGUAAUUUACAUUAUUAUAGGGCACCUUUACGAUAUAUUGUUUAUUCCUAUUGUAUAGCACCUGCCUCUCGUAAUCUAUUAGACAAUUAUUAUUAUUAUUGUCCGUUAUCAAUCGAUCGGGUCGCGUGCGAAUGAAUACGCGUGUAUAUAAUAUAGUUGCUCUGGUACUUUAUAUACCUACAUCGCACUGCUGCGGUAGAGUGCUACGAUGGAGCAGGGAAAACCGAACCGGUAUAAGGAGGUUGUGUCGAAAACUACAACGGCGACUCGCACGCAGACACGAACCGUUUCUUUUGAAUUCAAUGUACACGUUGUUGCGCAACCGUGCAUGCACACGCUGUGUAUAUUGCAUCCAGGUGGCCGGUGCAGGCAAUGGUUAAAUGUGACAUGGCCCAUAAAAACUAGGUCAUAAAAUCCAUCUCGUUUAUGUGGAGUAUGUAUACAAGGCCAGUCCCUUCCUUUAUUUCUUUUUUUUCCCCGGAAAGGGACCCGAAAUCGUCUUAUGAUGGGACACACACGCACACACGGGGUGCCAGUAACAGUAACGUUAUGUAAGUGUACUCACCUUUUUCGUGUACGUCGAUUUAGUGCUCCGCGGACAAGGACGAUUUUGGAUCUGAAACAAAAAAUAUCGCGGGGGAAUUUUAUGGGAAGACUUUGCGCUGCCGACGUUUGAAAUUCGAUUCAAUGCGAUAUUUCUAUCAUCAUUCAACCGUUUUCAGGAUCAGACACAAUAACACUGAUGAAAUUACUUCAUUAUAAUAAAAUAUACAUUCAUUAUGUAUAUUUAGAUACGUUUUCUCACGUCGUCUCACGCAUUUAUAUAUAUAUAGUCUUCCGGUCUUUUCCUGCUGCAGUCGUGUAAUGAUGGAAAACGUGAGCCGCCCAUUUCCCCCGAAAACCGUUUUUGGCCGGUUGUUGGCGGGAAAAAAAUUUUCAUGGUCGACGAAACAGCAACAUAUUACAUUAU